rnacentral:rRNA from 1 species
UUACCGAGUUUACAACUCCCAAACCCCUGUGAACAUACCUAUACGUUGCCUCGGCGGAUCAGCCCGCGCCCCGUAAAACGGGACGGCCCGCCCGAGGACCCUAAACUCUGUUUUUAGUGGAACUUCUGAGUAAAACAAACAAAUAAAUCAAAACUUUCAACAACGGAUCUCUUGGUUCUGGCAUCGAUGAAGAACGCAGCAAAAUGCGAUAAGUAAUGUGAAUUGCAGAAUUCAGUGAAUCAUCGAAUCUUUGAACGCACAUUGCGCCCGCCAGUAUUCUGGCGGGCAUGCCUGUUCGAGCGUCAUUUCAACCCUCAAGCUCAGCUUGGUGUUGGGACUCGCGGUAACCCGCGUUCCCCAAAUCGAUUGGCGGUCACGUCGAGCUUCCAUAGCGUAGUAAUAAUACACCUCGUUACUGGUAAUCGUCGCGGCCACGCCGUAAAACCCCAACUUCUGAAUGUUGACCUCGGAUCAGGUAGGAAUACCCGCUGAACUUAAGCAUA